rnacentral:rRNA from 1 species
UGGGGAAUAUUGGACAAUGGGGGCAACCCUGAUCCAGCAAUGCCGCGUGUGUGAAGAAGGUCUUCGGAUUGUAAAGCACUUUCGACGGGGACGAUGAUGACGGUACCCGUAGAAGAAGCCCCGGCUAACUUCGUGCCAGCAGCCGCGG